rnacentral:lncRNA from 1 species
GUUCAUAAUGUCAUUCUGUCUAGCUGAUUUAAAUUAAAUCAUUCAAGCUAAAGAUGGGCCUUCACUUGUCAUGUAUGGCUUCCAAAAGACUCCCCAAAAGUUCUCACUUAGUUUCUUACGUGGACCCACGAUAUAUCCAAACUGCAAUGGGGAAAAUCGUGCUGUGGAAGUAUGCCAUCUGUAUGCCAUCAACAAAUAGAGUGUUGUUUUAGAUUGUAAGUGCCUCAAAAAGCAUGGACUACAUCUCUGAAUCUCUACC